rnacentral:rRNA from 1 species
GAUGAACGCUGGCGGCGUGCCUAAUACAUGCAAGUCGAGCGAACGGACGAGAAGCUUGCUUCUCUGAUGUUAGCGGCGGACGGGUGAGUCACACGUGGAUAACCUACCUAUAAGACUGGGAUAACUUCGGGAAACCGGAGCUAAUACCGGAUGAUAUUUUGAACCGCAUGGUUCAAAAGUGAAAGACGGUCUUGCUGUCACUUAUAGAUGGAUCCGCGCUGCAUUAGCUAGUUGGUAAGGUAACGGCUUACCAAGGCAACGAUGCAUAGCCGACCUGAGAGCGUGGUCGGCCACCCGGGAAGUGAGACACGGUCCCGACUCCUGCGGGAGGCAGCAGUAGGGAAUCUUCCGCAAUGGGCGAGAGCCUGACGGAGCAACGCCGCGUGAGUGAUGAAGGUGUUCGGAUCGUAAAGCUCUGUUAUUAGGGAAGAACAUAUGUGUAAGUAACUGUGCACAUCUUGACGGUACCUAGUCAGAAAGCCACGGCUAACUACGUG